rnacentral:lncRNA from 7 species
UGCUCUGGGCUGAACAAACCCAGGAACCUCAGCCACUUUUUCCAGACUGUAGUCUUAAGGCUUAGCCAUUCUGUAAAUAAUAAAAUACAACCACCUCCAGUAUUUGCUUCUCUCAGAGACGCUUCUUUAUGGCUUUGGUUCAUAGCAUAUACAAGAGAAAAGAAACUCAACACAGGGUGCUGACAGUCGUCAUCUUCUGCAGUAAAAGCUCCUUUUUCGAGGAGUAUUCACAUUGAACUUCCACAGAUGCACUGACUGCUAUAGCACUUCAGCUACGUAUGACUCUUUCAGGUGUAAUGUAUGACACUAAGCAAGGACAGAAGCUAUUAAGACAUGCAGAUAACCCAUCAAGCCAGCACUAGAAAGCAGCAAGAUAUAACUGAUCAUCAGUAGAGGCAUCUCACAAAAGAAAAUGUUGGCUGGUAACGAGGACGGGGCCCAAGAGCAUAUGGGACUGGGCUCCCUCUUACAAGAAUUAACACAGAAUAUUACAACACUCCCAUCCUGUAAAGAUAAAGAUGGGUUCAUAACACACACAACACCUCUAUGGAAUGUCCCAGCUGGAAGGCAUCGUUCCCAUGGCUUGAGAAAACAUGCUUGGACUCCACAGCGUCAGACUCAGAUCAAAGGCAGUCACUAUCCUGCUACCCAAAAGACAAGCUCUGUUCACCUCGCUCUUGAACUUUUUGUGCUGCAUCAUAUAUUUAAAACACUUGGAGCUGCAUGAAUGGAUACCAGGAAACACAGAUGAAAUGAGAAAAAGAAUGGAAAAGUCCAGACACAGGUGAAGACUUUGGUCUGAGAAUAUAGUAAGUCAUUGUGGAUAAUUGUUGGGUUAUUCUGGAAGAUGAGGAAAAAAGUUAAUGCUUCCAAGGAGCUUCAGAACUACAAUGCAGAGUGGCCUUACUUUGUUUGCACUUUGAAGAUGUAAAGGGAUAUCACAAUACUAUCUACUCACAUCGAAAGAAACUUAUAUUUUUGACUUAAAAUUAAAUGGUUCACCUGAUCAAUCUCUAAGCCUUUUACAGCACUGAAAUUCGGCUCUCUUAAUGAGGACCAGUAAUUGUAGAUUCAAAGACUGCCCAAACCAGUCAGCGGGAGAUAAUAUGUAAUAUGUAACCACAGGAAAAGCAAACUGGAAAAAGAAAGACCACUGGCUUUCAUAAAUCAUUUUUUGACAGGAAGGUUAUUUAUCAUGGGAAAUAAGCUUAAUCAAUAAUAGAGUGAAACAACCUUAAUAAAAAAGGGAAUCAAGCUCUGUUCUGCAAGAGCAUUAUAAUUAAUGUGGGUAGGGGGAGCAGGAAGAGACAGAAAGAAUUGUUACAGAGAACUGUUAUUAUCCUGACAAAUGGAUUCUGUAUUGUUUCUAAAAGUUCAUUUACAUUCAGCAACUUUGAAUGAGAAAGUAACAAGAACUGCAUUUGUUUUCUAAGAAGAACUUUGGAGGGAGGUGACCAAUAAAAGAGGAAUUACUCGUGAUAAAAUUACUUUCAUUUGAUCUGAAUUAAAAGACAUAGCCAAUCACCAUUGUUUUUUUUUUUUUUUUUAAUAUCAGCUUCCUCAAAAGAAUAAAAAAUUAGGUGUCUUGAUCAUCAUGUAUAAAUCAAGCAUUAACUUCUCUAAAGUCAUAAUUUUCAUCUUGGAUUGAUUAAUCUUACAACAAUGAGAGGAAAACAAAAGCAUCACAGAAGUACUUUGGAAGCUCAAUGAGAAGAAACAUUUUAAUCUUUAUGAUAAGAGUAGUUGUAUAUUAAUAUUUUAAUUAUUCUUCUUCUCUAUAUAAUUAUAUAAUAAUUAUUCUUCAGUCAAUUUUCAUUUAUUAUUCCAUCUAUUUUUAAAGGAAAUUAUAAUCAUAACAGAUUCUGAAAACAUUAACCAAAUUUUUGAAAAAGACUGCACAAUUUCCUCUGCAGAAGCAAAAAUGGGCAUAUUCCUACACUGGGCAUAUGGAUCCCAAUCCCAGAACGUUCUUCUCAACUCAUUUCGCUGCAGCGUGAAAAAACUAUACAAAAGAAUGCAGUUGUUGUUGCUUAUUAACAAUCCUAAUUCAAAAAUCCUAGCUCAAGCAAAACUGCAAAAUGAAGAAACAUCUUAACAAAGGAAGUUCACAACAUUUUUCAUUCUAAUUUUACAUGGAAGACAUACAGCUACAGAAAUCCUCAAAUGUAUUUACAGACAGAAGAAAGAAAAAGUAUGUAAGGAAAAGAACGAUGAAGUCAGAAAU